GAUGAACGCUAGCUACAGGCUUAACACAUGCAAGUCGAGGGGCAGCGGGAUUGAAGCUUGCUUCAAUUGCCGGCGACCGGCGCACGGGUGAGUAACGCGUAUCCAACCUUCCGUACACUCAGGGAUAGCCUUUCGAAAGAAAGAUUAAUACCUGAUGGUAUGAUGAGAUCGCAUGGUAUCAUCAUUAAAGAUUUAUCGGUGUACGAUGGGGAUGCGUUCCAUUAGGUAGUAGGCGGGGUAACGGCCCACCUAGCCUACGAUGGAUAGGGGUUCUGAGAGGAAGGUCCCCCACAUUGGAACUGAGACACGGUCCAAACUCCUACGGGAGGCAGCAGUGAGGAAUAUUGGUCAAUGGACGAGAGUCUGAACCAGCCAAGUAGCGUGAAGGAUGAAGGUCCUACGGAUUGUAAACUUCUUUUUAUAAGGGAAUAAAGUGAGUCUCGUGAGACUUUUUGCAUGUACCUUAUGAAUAAGGACCGGCUAAUUCCGUGCCAGCAGCCG
rnacentral:rRNA from 1 species